rnacentral:rRNA from 1 species
CGCGCUCUUGCGACCCUUACGCGUCGCCUCGGCGGCGCUCCCAACGCGACCCCAGGUC